rnacentral:rRNA from 1 species
UACGUAGGGGGCAAGCGUUGUCCGGAAUCAUUGGGCGUAAAGAGCGUGUAGGCGGCUCGGUAAGUCCGCUCUGAAAGCCCGGGGCUCAACCCCGGGAGGCGGGCGGAUACUGUCGAGCUGGAGUCCGGAAGAGGCGAGUGGAAUUCCUGGUGUAGCGGUGAAAUGCGCAGAUAUCAGGAGGAACACCAAUGGCGAAGGCAGCUCGCUGGGACGGUACUGACACUGAGGCGCGAAGGCGUGGGGAGCGAACGGG